UACAGAGGGUGCGAGCGUUAAUCGGAGUUACUGGGCGUAAAGGGCGCGUAGGCGGUUGUGUGAGUGUGAUGUGAAGGCCCCGGGCUUAACCUGGGAAGUGCAUCGCAAACGACAUGACUGGAGUAGAUGAGAGGGUGGCGGAAUUUCCGGUGUAGCGGUGAAAUGCGUAGAGAUCGGAAGGAACGUCAAUGGCGAAGGCAGCCACCUGGCAUCAUACUGACGCUGAGGCGCGAAAGCGUGGGGAGCGAACAGG
rnacentral:rRNA from 1 species